rnacentral:rRNA from 1 species
GACGAACGCUGGCGGCGUGCUUAACACAUGCAAGUCGAACGGAAAGGCCCUGCUUUUGUGGGGUGCUCGAGUGGCGAACGGGUGAGUAACACGUGAGUAACCUGCCCUUGACUUUGGGAUAACUUCAGGAAACUGGGGCUAAUACCGGAUAGGAGCUCCUGCUGCAUGGUGGGGGUUGGAAAGUUUCGGCGGUUGGGGAUGGACUCGCGGCUUAUCAGCUUGUUGGUGGGGUAGUGGCUUACCAAGGCUUUGACGGGUAGCCGGCCUGAGAGGGUGACCGGCCACAUUGGGACUGAGAUACGGCCCAGACUCCUACGGGAGGCAGCAGUGGGGAAUAUUGCACAAUGGGCGGAAGCCUGAUGCAGCAACGCCGCGUGCGGGAUGACGGCCUUCGGGUUGUAAACCGCUUUCGCCUGUGACGAAGCGUGAGUGACGGUAAUGGGUAAAGAAGCACCGGCUAACUACGUGCCAGCAGCCGCGGUGAUACGUAGGGUGCGAGCGUUGUCCGGAUUUAUUGGGCGUAAAGGGCUCGUAGGUGGUUGAUCGCGUCGGAAGUGUAAUCUUGGGGCUUAACCCCUGAGCGUGCUUUCGAUACGGGUUGACUUGAGGAAGGUAGGGGAGAAUGGAAUUCCUGGUGGAGCGGUGGAAUGCGCAGAUAUCAGGAGGAACACCAGUGGCGAAGGCGGUUCUCUGGGCCUUUCCUGACGCUGAGGAGCGAAAGCGUGGGGAGCGAACAGGCUUAGAUACCCUGGUAGUCCACGCUGUAAACGGUGGGUACUAGGUGUGGGGUCCAUUCCACGGGUUCCGUGCCGUAGCUAACGCUUUAAGUACCCCGCCUGGGGAGUACGGCCGCAAGGCUAAAACUCAAAGGAAUUGACGGGGCCCCGCACAAGCGGCGGAGCAUGCGGAUUAAUUCGAUGCAACGCGUAGAACCUUACCUGGGUUUGACAUGGAUCGGGAGCGCUCAGAGAUGGGUGUGCCUCUUUUGGGGUCGGUUCACAGGUGGUGCAUGGCUGUCGUCAGCUCGUGUCGUGAGAUGUUGGGUUAAGUCCCGCAACGAGCGCAACCCUUGUUCACUGUUGCCAGCACGUUAUGGUGGGGACUCAGUGGAGACCGCCGGGGUCAACUCGGAGGAAGGUGGGGAUGACGUCAAGUCAUCAUGCCCCUUAUGUCCAGGGCUUCACGCAUGCUACAAUGGCUGGUACAGAGAGUGGCGAGCCUGUGAGGGUGAGCGAAUCUCGGAAAGCCGGUCUCAGUUCGGAUUGGGGUCUGCAACUCGACCUCAUGAAGUCGGAGUCGCUAGUAAUCGCAGAUCAGCAACGCUGCGGUGAAUACGUUCCCGGG